rnacentral:rRNA from 1 species
UAGGGAAUCUUCGGCAAUGGACGGAAGUCUGACCGAGCAACGCCGCGUGAGUGAAGAAGGUUUUCGGAUCGUAAAGCUCUGUUGUUAGAGAAGAACGUUGGUAGGAGUGGAAAAUCUACCAAGUGACGGUAACUAACCAGAAAGGGACGGCUAACUACGUGCCAGCAGCCGCGGUAAUACGUAGGUCCCGAGCGUUGUCCGGAUUUAUUGGGCGUAAAGCGAGCGCAGGCGGUUCUUUAAGUCUGAAGUUAAAGGCAGUGGCUUAACCAUUGUACGCUUUGGAAACGGGAGGACUUGAGUGCAGAAGGGGAGAGUGGAAUUCCAUGUGUAGCGGUGAAAUGCGUAGAUAUAUGGAGGAACACCGGUGGCGAAAGCGGCUCUCUGGUCUGUAACUGACGCUGAGGCUCGAAAGCGUGGGGAGCAAACAGG